GGGAAGUUGGCUCAGUGGUAGAGCACUUGCCUUGCAUGCAUGAAGCCCUGAGUUUGAUUUCUCA
rnacentral:tRNA from 1 species